UUUCCGUCAGAAGGUGGUAAUGCAGAACGUCUUUCUGUGUACGUCCCAGUGAGUCCCGCACGGAAACACAGUGGGUCAACAUGUCCUUACGGGGGUUGACUUGGGCCCGGAGAGUGAAGACUGUACCAGACAAAUAAACCUGAAGAUGCAGAGGGUUGGCUAUUCUUGCAACACAUCUCUGGAAGCAUAAGGCUCUUUGUUGGUGCUGGCACCUGGAGGUGCCUCCAUGUCUGGAAGCCAAAUUAAACCUCCUUUUUCAACGUGAAAAAUAAAUGACCCAGAGACUGAUAUUGGGGUUCAAGCUGAAGAUUGGGAAAGCAAAGCAGUCAGUCACUAGCUCUUGCCUCUAGCUCAGGCUGAAAGGGCUGAUCCACGCAUGAGCU